UUAAGCGACUAAGCGUACACGGUGGAUGCCCUGGCAGUCAGAGGCGAUGAAGGGCGUGCUAAUCUGCGAUAAGCGCCGGUAAGGUGAUAUGAACCGUUAUAACCGGCGAUACCCGAAUGGGGAAACCCAGUGUGACUCGUCACACUAUCAUUAACUGAAUCCAUAGGUUAAUGAGGCGAACCGGGGGAACUGAAACAUCUAAGUACCCCGAGGAAAAGAAAUCAACCGAGAUUCCCCCAGUAGCGGCGAGCGAACGGGGAGGAGCCCAGAGCCUGAAUCAGCAUGUGUGUUAGUGGAAGCGUCUGGAAAGGCGCGCGAUACAGGGUGACAGCCCCGUACACAAAAGCGCAUGUGCUGUGAGCUCGAUGAGUAGGGCGGGACACGUGGUAUCCUGUCUGAAUAUGGGGGGACCAUCCUCCAAGGCUAAAUACUCCUGACUGACCGAUAGUGAACCAGUACCGUGAGGGAAAGGCGAAAAGAACCCCGGCGAGGGGAGUGAAAAAGAACCUGAAACCGUGUACGUACAAGCAGUGGGAGCACAGGUUUACCUGUGUGACUGCGUACCUUUUGUAUAAUGGGUCAGCGACUUAUAUUCUGUAGCAAGGUUAACCGUAUAGGGGAGCCGUAGGGAAACCGAGUCUUAACCGGGCGUUAAGUUGCAGGGUAUAGACCCGAAACCCGGUGAUCUAGCCAUGGGCAGGUUGAAGGUUGGGUAACACUAACUGGAGGACCGAACCGACUAAUGUUGAAAAAUUAGCGGAUGACCUGUGGCUGGGGGUGAAAGGCCAAUCAAACCGGGAGAUAGCUGGUUCUCCCCGAAAGCUAUUUAGGUAGCGCCUCGUGAAUUCAUCUCCGGGGGUAGAGCACUGUUUCGGCUAGGGGGCCAUCCCGGCUUACCAACCCGAUGCAAACUGCGAAUACCGGAGAAUGUUAUCACGGGAGACACACGGCGGGUGCUAACGUCCGUCGUGAAGAGGGAAACAACCCAGACCGCCAGCUAAGGUCCCAAAGUCAUGGUUAAGUGGGAAACGAUGUGGGAAGGCCCAGACAGCCAGGAUGUUGGCUUAGAAGCAGCCAUCAUUUAAAGAAAGCGUAAUAGCUCACUGGUCGAGUCGGCCUGCGCGGAAGAUGUAACGGGGCUAAACCAUGCACCGAAGCUGCGGCAGCGACACUGUGUGUUGUUGGGUAGGGGAGCGUUCUGUAAGCCUGUGAAGGUGGCCUGUGAGGGUUGCUGGAGGUAUCAGAAGUGCGAAUGCUGACAUAAGUAACGAUAAAGCGGGUGAAAAGCCCGCUCGCCGGAAGACCAAGGGUUCCUGUCCAACGUUAAUCGGGGCAGGGUGAGUCGACCCCUAAGGCGAGGCCGAAAGGCGUAGUCGAUGGGAAACGGGUUAAUAUUCCCGUACUUGGUGUUACUGCGAAGGGGGGACGGAGAAGGCUAUGUUGGCCGGGCGACGGUUGUCCCGGUUUAAGCGUGUAGGUGUGUGUUCCAGGUAAAUCCGGUUCACUUUAACACUGAGGCGUGACGACGAGGCACUACGGUGCUGAAGCAACAAAUGCCCUGCUUCCAGGAAAAGCCUCUAAGCAUCAGGUAACAUCAAAUCGUACCCCAAACCGACACAGGUGGUCAGGUAGAGAAUACCAAGGCGCUUGAGAGAACUCGGGUGAAGGAACUAGGCAAAAUGGUGCCGUAACUUCGGGAGAAGGCACGCUGACACGUAGGUGAAGUGAUUUACUCAUGGAGCUGAAGUCAGUCGAAGAUACCAGCUGGCUGCAACUGUUUAUUAAAAACACAGCACUGUGCAAACACGAAAGUGGACGUAUACGGUGUGACGCCUGCCCGGUGCCGGAAGGUUAAUUGAUGGGGUCAGCGCAAGCGAAGCUCCUGAUCGAAGCCCCGGUAAACGGCGGCCGUAACUAUAACGGUCCUAAGGUAGCGAAAUUCCUUGUCGGGUAAGUUCCGACCUGCACGAAUGGCGUAAUGAUGGCCAGGCUGUCUCCACCCGAGACUCAGUGAAAUUGAACUCGCUGUGAAGAUGCAGUGUACCCGCGGCAAGACGGAAAGACCCCGUGAACCUUUACUAUAGCUUGACACUGAACAUUGAGCCUUGAUGUGUAGGAUAGGUGGGAGGCUUUGAAGUGUGGACGCCAGUCUGCAUGGAGCCGACCUUGAAAUACCACCCUUUAAUGUUUGAUGUUCUAACGUGGACCCGUAAUCCGGGUUGCGGACAGUGUCUGGUGGGUAGUUUGACUGGGGCGGUCUCCUCCUAAAGAGUAACGGAGGAGCACGAAGGUUGGCUAAUCCUGGUCGGACAUCAGGAGGUUAGUGCAAUGGCAUAAGCCAGCUUGACUGCGAGCGUGACGGCGCGAGCAGGUGCGAAAGCAGGUCAUAGUGAUCCGGUGGUUCUGAAUGGAAGGGCCAUCGCUCAACGGAUAAAAGGUACUCCGGGGAUAACAGGCUGAUACCGCCCAAGAGUUCAUAUCGACGGCGGUGUUUGGCACCUCGAUGUCGGCUCAUCACAUCCUGGGGCUGAAGUAGGUCCCAAGGGUAUGGCUGUUCGCCAUUUAAAGUGGUACGCGAGCUGGGUUUAGAACGUCGUGAGACAGUUCGGUCCCUAUCUGCCGUGGGCGCUGGAGAACUGAGGGGGGCUGCUCCUAGUACGAGAGGACCGGAGUGGACGCAUCACUGGUGUUCGGGUUGUCAUGCCAAUGGCACUGCCCGGUAGCUAAAUGCGGAAGAGAUAAGUGCUGAAAGCAUCUAAGCACGAAACUUGCCCCGAGAUGAGUUCUCCCUGAGACUUAGAGUCUCCUGAAGGAACGUUGAAGACGACGACGUUGAUAGGCCGGGUGUGUAAGCGCAGCGAUGCGUUGAGCUAACCGGUACUAAUGAACCGUGAGGCUUAACCUU
rnacentral:rRNA from 1 species